CCUACGGGAGGCAGCAGUAGGGAAUAUUGGGCAAUGGCCGAGAGGCUGACCCAGCCAUGCCGCGUGCAGGAUGAAGGCUUUCUGAGUCGUAAACUGCUUUUACCAGGGAAGAAAAAAGGGGAUGCGUCCCCUACUGACGGUACCUGGUGAAUAAGCACCGGCUAACUCCGUGCCAGCAGCCGCGGUAAUACGGAGGGUGCAAGCGUUGUCCGGAUUUAUUGGGUUUAAAGGGUGCGUAGGCGGCCGAUUAAGUCUGGGGUGAAAGCCCGUUGCUCAACAACGGAACUGCCCCGGAAACUGGUUGGCUUGAGUACAGACGAGGGUGGCGGAAUGGACGGUGUAGCGGUGAAAUGCAUAGAUACCGUCCAGAACCCCGAUUGCGAAGGCAGCUGCCUAGACUGUAACUGACGCUGAGGCACGAAAGCGUGGGGAGCGAACAGGAUUAGAUACCCUGGUAGUCCACGCCGUAAACGAUGGAUACUCGCUGCUGGCGAUACAAUGUCAGUGGCUUAGCGAAAGCGUUAAGUAUCCCACCUGGGGAGUACGCUCGCAAGAGUGAAACUCAAAAGAAUUGACGG
rnacentral:rRNA from 1 species